rnacentral:rRNA from 1 species
AACGAACGCUGGCGGCAUGCCUAACACAUGCAAGUCGAACGAGACCUUCGGGUCUAGUUGCUCACGGGUGCGUAACGCGUGGGAACCUGCCCUUAUGUUCGGAAUAACUCCCCGAAAGGGGUGCUAAUACCGGAUAAUGUCUUCGGACCAAAGAUUUAUCGCCUUUGGAUGGGCCCGCGUUGGAUUAGCUAGUUGGUAGGGUAAAAGCCUACCAAGGCGACGAUCCAUAGCUGGUCUGAGAGGAUGAGCAGCCACACUGGGACUGAGACACGGCCCAGACUACUACGGGAGGCAGCAGUGGGGAAUAUUGGACAAUGGGGGAAAGGCUGAUCCAGCAAUGCCGGGUGAGUGAUGAAGGCCUGAGGGUUGUAAAGCUGUUUUACCCGGGAUGAUAAUGACAGUACCGGGAGAAUAAGCUCCGGCUAACUCCGUG